rnacentral:rRNA from 1 species
UACGUAGGGUGCAAGCGUUAAUCGGAAUUACUGGGCGUAAAGCGUGCGCAGGCGGUUAUGUAAGACAGUUGUGAAAUCCCCGGGCUCAACCUGGGAACUGCAUCUGUGACUGCAUAGCUAGAGUACGGUAGAGGGGGAUGGAAUUCCGCGUGUAGCAGUGAAAUGCGUAGAUAUGCGGAGGAACACCGAUGGCGAAGGCAAUCCCCUGGACCUGUACUGACGCUCAUGCACGAA